rnacentral:rRNA from 1 species
AUGGCCGGAGAUCUGGGUAAGAGCAGCGGCGGCGCCAGGGUGUGCGUGACCGGAGCCACCGGGUUCGUCGGCUCCUGGCUCGUCAGGAAGCUCCUCGACGCAGGCUACACCGUCCACGCCACCAUGCGAGGCACCGGAGACGAGGAGAAAGUGGGGCGGCUGCGGCGGCUGGUGGUCCCCGGCGGGGUGGCGCCGGAGCGGCUGGUGCUGUUCGAGGCCGACCUCUACGACCCCGCCAGCUUCGCGCCGGCCAUCGCCGGGUGCCAGUCCGUCUUCCUCAUCGCCACGCCGUUCGCCGACGGCGCCGCGGAGGCGGCCGUGGGCGCGGUGCGCUCCAUCCUCCGGCAGUGCGAGGAGUCCGGGACGGUGAAGCGCGUCAUCCACACCGCGUCCAUGUCGACAGCCUCGCCGCUCACCGCCGCCGGGUACAAGGACUUCAUCGACGAGUCCUGCUGGACCCCGUUCGACGUGGACUACCCUCUCCGGAGUGCUGACUUCGAUAAGCACAUGCUGUCGAAGCUCCUGUCAGAGAAGGAGCUGCUGAGCUACAACGACGGCGAGGACCCGGCGUUCGAGGUGGUGACCCUGCCCUUGGGCCUCGUCUCCGGCGACACGCUCCUCGGCCGCGUCACGGAGGCGCUGGAGGUGGCCGUGUCGCCGGUGUCCGGGGACGAGUCCCGCUUCGGGUUCAUGAGGCUGCUGCAGACGGUGGCGGGCUCGGUGCCGCUGGUGCACGUGGACGACGUCUGCGCGGCGCUCGUCUUCUGCGUGGCGCGGCCGUACCCCGUCUCCGGCCGCUUCCUCUGCGCCGCCGCCUACCCGAACAUCCACGACGUCGUUGACCACUACGCCAGCAAGUACCCUCACCUCGACCUCCUCAGAGAGACCGAGGAGGUGGCGAGGGUGCAACCUGAGAGGAACAAGCUGGGGGAGCUGGGUUUCCGGUACAGGUACGGGAUGGAGGAGAUAUUGGACGGCAAUGUCCAGUGGGCAGCGAGGCUGGGGCACCUUGAUGAAUCCAAGCUCAGCGCGCAACACAAGGAUAUGAACCCAAUUAGUGAUUAG